rnacentral:rRNA from 1 species
GACGGAGGAGGCAAGCGUUAUCCGGAAUUAUUGGGCGUAAAGGGUACGUAGGCGGCUGGUCAAGUCUGGGGUUAAAGGCCACAGCUCAACUGUGGGAAGGCCCUGGAAACUGACCGGCUAGAGUGAGGUAGGGGUUGCGGGAAUUCCCGGUGUAGCGGUGAAAUGCGUAGAGAUCGGGAAGAACACCUGAGGCGGAAGCGCGCAACUGGGCCUCAACUGACGCUGAGGUACCACAGCGAGCGGAGCGAAUGGG